GCGCGUAGCUCAGUUGGAAGAGCAUUGGGCUAGUAUUCCAAAGGUCGUAGGUUCGAAUCCCACCGUGGCCG